CCGGGAGGGCAGUGGGGGUGGCUCCCUGAGGCUCUGUCCAGGGCUGCUGCAGCAGGCAGACAGCACAGCACAUGCUGAUGGGGGUCACCAGGAGCAGUUCCUGGGCCCCUCACUUUAUUCAGCUCAUGUGGCAAGGGGUCCCCAGUGGGAGGAGCCUGGCAGCAUCAAGCACCACCUGGGCUCCCUGCUACCACCCACCUGGAUGGCAGGCGGGGCAGUGAGGGACCUCUGGCCUGCUGGGGGCAUUACUCACUGGCAGGAUGGAGAACUGCAUGAAGAGGCAGCUUGUCUCCCCAGCUGACCAUGCCGCUGGAAUGUAUGCCUGCCCUGUGAUGCCAGCCCAGAGACCAAAAGGCCUGACCCUCAGCAGCUGGAGAUGCACUUGAAGUCUACUCCUCACUCCACCCCACCCCCACGCCCCAGGUAACGUGGGUGUGCCUACCGUGGCAUCGAUGGCCCGCCCCUCUAGGGGCUGCUCCGGAGCCUUGCAGCUGUCCCCAGGUCCCCAUCUGGCCAGCAGAGGGGGCAGAAGGACUGCUCUGAUAUUCUGGACAGCCACACCUGGAAGCGAACCGAUUCCUGGCCAAAAUGGACACAGAGGACUGGGGACUGUGGUCUUUCCGGGGGCUCAGAGGAGAGCAAACAGCUGGGGUCAUACGCUUGCUGCGUGGGAUCUGGAGAGUCACAAGAGAUGAACGGGCGUACUGCUUGGCAGGGGCCAGGCAGGGGACCCUAGAGCUCACCACUUUCUAUAAGUGGAGUCCCACUCCUGUGUAAGCAGGAUUCGGGGUACUAGAGUAGCCCAGGAAACCUGUCCAAGAUGAGCACAGCCCACCUUCUGGUUCCAGCACCCCCACCCCCAACUUCAGCUUUCUGCAGCAACGGAGUACAAAGAUUGUUCUUUUUGUUUCCUUUUUCCUUUGAAUGUAUUUUUAAUUACAAAAAUAGAACUUGAUUGUUGUACACAGACAGAUGUUCGCUCGCUUCCAGGCCCCUUGGGGUGGAGGGUUGGGCCUCCUCUUGAUGCCCAGCCCCCCCUCCCCAGCUCCUGCAUGUCUUUGUCCAGGUGAGCCCCUUCCUCGGGUGGAAGAAGGAACAGCUUUAACAAGCCUGUUGUUACCAUCCUUGAUGGAAUUCAGAGUCACAGACUCUAGAAGAGACAGUCACCUCCCGUGCUGUAAUGUGGCUGACAGAGGGGGAGUCCCGCAGCACCUGGUUUAACUCCAUAAUUAAACGGGAAGGGAACUGAUUCCUGUCGUCGCCUUCCGCUCGAGGGCCUUGGGGCCAGCAGGUGUACUAGGAUCCAGGUGCGCAGACCCCUCCCAAGCAGGCACAAAUUCGAGCGCCAAAGACUGCCCAAGACCCCGUCCUGCUCCCGCCAGGGACGCACUGGCAGCGGCGGGUUGAAGCCCAUCAGCUGGCACAGGAGGCUCAGUGGCGAUCGCGGGCAGCAGGGGCCCGAGGGACCUGGCCGGACGCCGGGCCCGCGGGGGACGGUGCCCACCGCUUCGCCGAGGGGGCGCCCGCGCCGCCGCCCCACAACCCC